GAUGAACGCUAGCGGGAGGCCUAACACAUGCAAGCCGAGCGGUAGAGUCUCUUCGGAGACUUGAGAGCGGCGCACGGGUGCGGAACACGUGUGCAACCUGCCUUUAUCUGGGGGAUAGCCUUUCGAAAGGGAGAUUAAUACCCCAUAAUAUAUCAGAUGGCAUCAUUUGAUAUUGAAAACUCCGGUGGAUAGAGAUGGGCACGCGCAAGAUUAGAUAGUUGGUGAGGUAACGGCUCACCAAGUCUGCGUAUCUUUAGGGGGCCUGAGAGGGUGAUCCCCCACACUGGUACUGAGACACGGACCAGACUCCUACGGGAGGCAGCAGUGAGGAAUAUUGGACAAUGGGUGAGAGCCUGAUCCAGCCAUCCCGCGUGAAGGACGACGGCCCUAUGGGUUGUAAACUUCUUUUGUAUAGGGAUAAACCUAGAUACGUGUAUCUAGCUGAAGGUACUAUACGAAUAAGCACCGGCUAACUCCGUGCCAGCAGCCGCGGUAAUACGGAGGGUGCAAGCGUUAUCCGGAUUUAUUGGGUUUAAAGGGUCCGUAGGCGGAUCUGUAAGUCAGUGGUGAAAUCUCACAGCUUAACUGUGAAACUGCCAUUGAUACUGCAGGUCUUGAGUGUUGUUGAAGUAGCUGGAAUAAGUAGUGUAGCGGUGAAAUGCAUAGAUAUUACUUAGAACACCAAUUGCGAAGGCAGGCUACUAAGCAACAACUGACGCUGAUGGACGAAAGCGUGGGGAGCGAACAGGAUUAGAUACCCUGGUAGUCCACGCCGUAAACGAUGCUAACUCGUUUUUGGUUUUUCGGAAUCAGAGACUAAGCGAAAGUGAUAAGUUAGCCACCUGGGGAGUACGUUCGCAAGAAUGAAACUCAAAGGAAUUGACGGGGGCCCGCACAAGCGGUGGAUUAUGUGGUUUAAUUCGAUGAUACGCGAGGAACCUUACCAAGGCUUAAAUGGGAAAUGACAGGUUUAGAAAUAGACUUUUCUUCGGACAUUUUUCAAGGUGCUGCAUGGUUGUCGUCAGCUCGUGCCGUGAGGUGUUAGGUUAAGUCCUGCAACGAGCGCAACCCCUGUCACUAGUUGCCAUCAUUAAGUUGGGGACUCUAGUGAGACUGCCUACGCAAGUAGAGAGGAAGGUGGGGAUGACGUCAAAUCAUCACGGCCCUUACGCCUUGGGCCACACACGUAAUACAAUGGCCGGUACAGAGGGCAGCUACACAGCGAUGUGAUGCAAAUCUCGAAAGCCGGUCUCAGUUCGGAUUGGAGUCUGCAACUCGACUCUAUGAAGCUGGAAUCGCUAGUAAUCGCGCAUCAGCCAUGGCGCGGUGAAUACGUUCCCGGGCCUUGUACACACCGCCCGUCAAGCCAUGGAAGUCUGGGGUACCUGAAGUCGGUGACCGUAACAGGAGCUGCCUAGGGUAAAACAGGUAACUAGGGCUAAGUCGUAACAAGGUAGCCGUACCGGAAGGUGCGGCUGGAACAUCUCAUUUUAGAGCGUCUUUUGACGAUAAAAAAAACAGUACGCAAGUACAAAAUACU
rnacentral:rRNA from 1 species